ensembl:lncRNA
AUGUGGACCCUUACCGACAUCACUUCCCUUAUUCUUGUCAUGAUUAUCUUUGUGUUUCACUGGUGGAGGGAGAGUGGGUUGGACAGCAGUUCAGCACUUGAAAAUGGGUCCUACAGACAGUUCAGGACAGAGGUGAAUGAUGUGUGGUCUUUAUCCAACAUGAGUGACAAGCAAGAUCCAUCUCUUUAAAGUCCCUGAUGAAGUGUGUUGAUUCAUAUUUAACCCCUUAUUUAAAAAAAAAAAAAAUCUCUAACUGAUGAUCAGUUGAGCAGUAUAUACCAGUUUAUGUGGUACAUUGAAAUCAUCCUUACAUUUUAUAAAUUGUAAGUGUUUGGUCACAAAAUGAUGGAUAAGUAGCUGUCCUAAUGUGAUAUGAUAGGAUACAAAUGCUAAAUUCUAGUGACUAAUCUUGCACCACAGACUUUAUAUUGUCAUUUGAGUUAUUGCCUUUCACAAGCCCCAGGUUCUAUCAAUGCUACUGUAAAGGUUUCCAUUUAAAGCAUGAAUGGAAAUAUUUGUCAUGCCGAUGAAACUAAUGUUUCCUUCACUGAAAUAUUAGUGGAUCCAUUGGUUUUAUGUUUCAUCUUAAGUGGUAUUUAAAAUCCAUGUCAUGGUUUUGGCUGAAUCAUUACCCCCAGACAGCAGCUUAAUAGUAUAAGAAUCCAAGAAGUCAUAAAUAAUUUUUGUGCUAAUGUUUUGUCCUUUUUGUCUCGUUUAAAUUUUUCAUUGUGUCUAACUGAUCAUUUUGUAAUAAUUUUUGGUUAUUGCAGUGUCUAUCUGUCUAUAUGGUUUUCAGUUUUUAAACUCUGUUUUUCUUCAUUAUUUGCAUAUUUUUUCUUUAAAUGUUAAGACUGUUACAAUCUUGUUUUUUAUUUUUUAUUACUUGAAUAAAUCUUGUGUCUGAUUAAAUUCUGGCA